rnacentral:rRNA from 1 species
GACGGAGGGUGCUAGCGUUGUUCGGAAUCACUGGGCGUAAAGGGCGCGUAGGCGGCCAAGGCAGUCGGCUCGUGAAAGCCCGGGGCUCAACCCCGGAGGUGCGGCCGAUACACUUUGGCUGGAGGCCGGAAGAGGAGGGUGGAAUACCCAGUGUAGAGGUGAAAUUCGUAGAUAUUGGGUGGAACACCGGUGGCGAAAGCGGCUCUCUGGUCCGGUCCUGACGCUGAGGCGCGAAAGCGUGGGGAGCAAACAGG